rnacentral:rRNA from 1 species
CGGGGGGAGCAAGCGUUGUUCGGAUUUACUGGGCGUAAAGGGCGUGUAGGCGGCCACCGCAAGUCAGUUGUGAAAGCUCUGGGCUUAACCCAGAAAGGUCAACUGAUACUGCGGGGCUAGAGUGCAGAAGGGGCAACUGGAAUUCUCGGUGUAGCGGUGAAAUGCGUAGAUAUCGAGAGGAACACCUGCGGCGAAGGCGGGUUGCUGGGCUGACACUGACGCUGAAACGCGAAAGCUAGGGGAGCGAACGGGAUUAGAUACCCCGGUAGUCCUAGCCUUAAACGAUGAAUGCUUGGUGUCUGGGGUUUAUAGUCCCCGGGUGCCGUCGCUAACGCUUUAAGCAUUCCGCCUGGGGAGUACGGUCGCAAGACUG